rnacentral:rRNA from 1 species
UACGUAGGGUGCAAGCGUUAAUCGGAAUUACUGGGCGUAAAGCGUGCGCAGGCGGUUUUGUAAGUCUGUCGUGAAAUCCCUGGGCUCAACCUAGGAAUUGCGAUGGAGACUGCAAGGCUAGAAUCUGGCAGAGGGGGGUAGAAUUCCACGUGAUAGCAGUGAAAUGCGUAGAGAUGUGGAGGAACACCGAUGGCGCAAGGCAGCCCCCUGGGUUGAAGAUU